UUGAAACUUUUUUCGGGAAUUUGUUGAAGAUAAUUUAUUCACCUCUUCAAUGACAUCUAAGCAGGGUUAAGUGCCUCUAGCCAAAAGAUUUCACCGACAGCAAAAAAAACAUAUCCGGGUUAAGUUCGUCUUGCCAAAAGAUUUCACCCACAGCAAAAUAAUCAUAUCCGACUUUAGCAAAAGGUAGCCGGUCAAGUUGCCGUUUUUGGGUUUUUAGGGUUUUUUCCGGUUCGCAUUUUUCAUUUACGUGUCAGACAACCUAACCGACUACCUGUCUGUUCGUGUCGAAGUAAACCUCUAUAACCUGUUUGGCAAAUUGUGAAUAAGUCGAUGUGGGACAAAUAUUAUGAUUUCGUACAAAUAUCGACAUCUGCAUUCAGCAUGAAUUCGUUUGUUUCUCUUGAAUAUGAAUAGCUAAUUUCGUGCUCUUUUACAGGCAAGUUGGUAAAAUUGUAGUGUGACGAGAUUGUGCUUUCGAGUAACUGGAUAAAAUUAUAUGACGGAGUUUGGAGAUUUCGAGAAAACACGUGAAAAAGGUUAGUCGAACAAUAGGAAACUGCACAGUCAUGUUUAAAUUACUUGAUGAUGGUCAAAAUCUUGGUCGAUAUUAUGUUAGCCCCUCUUAAAAGAUAUACUAUAUAUAAAUAUUCGAUAGAUAUAUAAACAAAAUUGAUAUGAUUAUACGAAUAUGGAGAUUAUAAUAAAUGUAUUAAUUGUGAGAUCAUUCACAUUUUUCCUAA